AACACCCCCACAGACUUGCCCACAGAUUAAUUUGAUAGAAGAAUUUUCUCAAUUGGAUAUAUCUCUUCCCAACUGACCAUAGCUUGUGUCAAUUUGACAAAAACAAAACACAGAAAGGGCUUCCUCAAAUGCCCUCAUGUGGAAGCUGCUUAUGAAAAAACUGCAAUGUCUUAAGACCUUUUCCUAGGAAUUACAUCAAUUAACAGAAAGAUUAUCUUAAAAGGAACUAAAUCAUGCCUGAGCAGAUUAAUCUUUCAGUUUCGUGGCCUAUUCAGCUCCAAACAGUGCUGAUUAUCUUCAAGAUUACAGUCUCAACAUAUGAAAUCGGGGAAGGACACGGAAAAUAUGUAACCUUUUAUAACAGUCUGGUUCACACAGUUACUUUCCGCCUCUACGUCACUGCCUUGCUUUUCUAUAUUAGGCAGUUUUAUACUCUGGUUUCCCAGAUGAUGAAAUAGUGAUCCAGAAAAGUUCUAACUCAUCCAAGGCAUCUUCAUUGCUGACUCUAAUAGAUAAAGAAACAAACAAAGAACAACAACAACAACAACAACAACACACUAUCCACAGGACCAGACAAAGUGAGCUAGCCGUCACAUUAUUUGGACACACAGAAUAUUAUUUUUAUAUGCAAAUCAUAAUCUCCAUUUUCCUCUGUUCUUUUGUAAGGACACAUUGUAAAAAAUAGUUAACUUUUUUUUUGUUAAGUUUACUAUAAAACAAAUUAUCACUAAAUGAUGGCCCUGGUAUUAGUACUGAAAAUGCCCAGCACAAAACCUGCUGUAACCUAGACAAAGUACCCCAGACCCACUGGCUACUCCCCUCAUCAGUGGUUGUCAUGGAGAUAAAAAGGCUGGACCCAGUGUUCUGACUAUAGCGAGUGAAGUGGUAUAAGGUUGCAACACUGUCAACAAAUUCAAUUUUUUAAUCAAUGCAAAUUAACACUGGGUUAUAUAGACUGUGUCUUAGGGCUCUACCUGUGGACACUAGCUGGGGAAAUCUGCUCUAGUUCAUGCUGUUCAAGAGGAAAGAACCUUGUGAACUAGAAUCAUGGACAGAUCUCAGAAUGAGACACAGCUUCAUCCUAGGGGCCAGGAAUCUUUCUAAGCAUGUGUUAAGCAAAGGACUUGAUCUUGCACGUCUUGGCUUUCUCAUCUAUAAAAUAAAGAUAGCAUCAUACUGGAAGCAGAACGAGAGGCUGUGGAAAGUUGUCGGGACAUGAGGAAAGCAAAAGGAGCCCCUCAUACUGAGUCUCUGACUCUAUGGAUUUGCCUGUUCUUACCUCUUCUGUUAUUUGUAAAAAUGUGUGUGUGACCACUGUGUCUGGAUUCUUUUAUUUACAUAAGGUUUUCAUGGCUUAUUCAUGCUAUAGUAUGUGUUGGAGGUUAUUAUUGAGUAAAUGACAUUCUGUUCAUUGAUAGAAAUAUGAGUUGUAUAAAUUUUGGGGCUUACAUUUUCAGUCCUUAUGAAUACAUACCUAGAAGCAAAAUUGUCCUAUAUUCUGUGUUCUGUAAUAGCUAGGUUACCGUAGGUUAGUCAGGGUGAGUUAUUAUUGAGAGAGAAACAAAAAAUGAGUAAUGUAUAUAAAAUAUGGUCACAAAAUAAACACUCAAGCAGUGUUAUUAGAUAUAAAAUCUUACAUAUAUAAUAAAUACUCAAGAAGUGUGUUAUUAGCUGCCACAUUUAUUGCAUUGAUCUUACAUGAAAUGAAUUGAAAUAUAGACACAUUCAAAAGAAUAAAUCAGAUUCUCCUGAUAUGAGCACCUACCUUCAAAACAUAUAUAAUGGACAAAUAGCAGUGGAGAUAUAUAUAUAUUUUCAAGCUCCAAAAGAAGACAUUAGAAUCAUCUGGAGUCAAACCAUGGAAGACAAUAAAAAUUGACACUGUAGAUGUCAUGAGGUGACAGGCCAGAGUAAAUUCACAGGGCCUAGGAGACAGAUAUCACGAGAUAGGUUCUAAAGUUCCUGGCAGCAAGAAGCUAGGAGGGUUUGUCUCAGCAGAAACUCUCCUGCCCCACCCCCCAGCUGCUGACUGGCAUGAAGCAGUGACUUAUCCUGGGGCAGAGGAGACAGAGCCUCCAGAGCACAGAGCUGGCAGCUGAAUUAGUGCACUGAUGUCACUCUUCGGCCUCCUAAUCUGUCUCUCCAUGUUAUGAAACCCUCAAGACAGGGGACAAAGGUAGUAUUUAUACAGGAACAAGUGAACAGCAUGAAAGCCCAGCUACUCAGCCAAAACCAACUCACAACGAAUUUUCUAGAAUCUGAAACCCAAUGAGCACACAGUUAUGAGGAGCCCCAGAGAUGUGUCCCCAAGAAAAAAACAAAAAAGACCAAGAGGCAAGCCACGAAGCACACAGGUAACAGAGGUCACAGGAGGUGAAACAACACACAGUGGAAAGAGGGUUGUAUCAAAUUCAAAGGCUGGAAGAAAGCAAGGGGUUCACGGCAGUAUGCAAACAUUUUGAUAAAAAGAAUAAGCAAACUUGAAAUGGGGCUGAUUGACCGGAACUGACCUGAGCUGAACAAUUUAUUACCAAGCUUUGCUUUCCAUACAGUCAGAGAAAAAAAUGCCAUAAGUAAAUACAAACUCUCCAGCAGUAAUUUUGAAUUAUUUUUAAACAAUCAUGCUAACCAGGUGAGCAUGUGUUCAUGGCAAGGAGAGGAACACAAGCACAGCAGAUGAAAGCAGCGUUGGUAAUGUAACGCUUGUGAACUAAAGGGAACCUUGGAAAUCCGAGCAUGUCAGACACACUUCUACAUACAAGGAGCAAUGCGUCCAUUACCGAUCUAUACUAAACGCUCAGGUGUGAUGCCGAGCAUGUCAGACACACUUCUACAUACAAGGAGCAAUGCGUCCAUUACCGAUCUAUACUAAACGCUCGGGUGUGAUGUAAAGAUGGUAAGCUGACACAAAAAUAAGAGGGAUAAAGGUUCUAACUUAGAAGAGUAUUCAGGAAUGUGUUUAGCUACAAAUACCAGACACUCUAAGCCCAAAACUUAAAGUGAAAGUUCUCUCCAUGUGUUAAGAAUAAAAAAUCAAGGGCUAUCUCCAAAGCUUAUGGAUUUCAACAGGCCACUUCUGGUUUUUGCAUCCACUGUCAUCAGAAUGAGGCUUAGAAUAAGGUGAAUGUUCAUGCUUUCUCUUCUUUGUGCAAGGUAGCUACUUCUCUUUGGCAUUCAAUCUGUAUUCCUGCUAAGGAGAAAAGGGGAGAUAAAGCAGGGAAGCGUUAGAAAAGCACAUGUCCACUGUCUCAAGGAACAAUAUGGGGUCACAUGAUCUUUAGUUGCACAAUGAUCCUAUAAAGUAAAUGGUUUUUUUAGUUUGACACUCUGGAUAAAAUUAGGUUCUUUUACAAAGAAAAGGGUGCUAAGAGUUGACAGGGGUGAGGCUGGUUACAAAGCUCAGAGGCAGAACAUUGGCUAUGGCGCUCGAGGUCCAGGACCCAAUUCCUGGCAGAACCUCAGCCUUGUAUGAUAUUCUGGCUACAUCAAUUGUUAAAUAUUACAGAAGUUAUAGAACAGCCAUAUGAGUAGGUCUGAGCUUUAAAUGAGCACUGAGUUCUGCAAAGCCCUUACUACCUGCAGAUAAAACAUGAACUAAACAUGACUAAUUUUCUACUCACUUCAGACAGGUCCCCUUUUCUUCAUCUAUAAUUUCAAGAUUUUGUAAAAUCUUGUGACCAAUUUUAUGACACACACUUGAUUGUGACUUAAGGACAGUUGCUUAAAUGUACAUUAUAGAUUCUAUCUAAUAAUUAUGUUUAUGUGUUAUUGUACAUUAUAUAAACAUAUAAUGUAAAUGUUUAUACGUUACAGAAAUACUGAUGUCUAAUUAAAGGUAAUGUCCCAUAGUCUACUUAGAAUAUUAUAGAGUAAAGAAUACCUUCUAAAUUUGUAAAUUUCUGAGUCCUAAAUACUCCAAGCCUUAUUAUUUGAAUGGAGUUUUGUUUUGUUUUUUGUUUUGUUUGGUUUUGUUUUGUUUUGUUUUAAUGAACUUACAAAGAUGACCUCAGUGUAAAUAGAGUGCAGCAGAAAUCUUAGGGUAACCAUGACAACUUUGAAUUAGGACAAGAAAAAUUAAAACAGCAAGUCUUGAAGUUUUGAUUACCGGGAAUAAGAUUAAUGACUGUUUACGAUGAUAGAAGUCCACAUUUGAGUGACUUAAGCCAUUUACGUAGGUCAGUCCCUCUGAAUGAAAACAUCAGGACAUUGAGGAUAUGCACGAGCAAGUCUCCACUCCCGCAAGAAGUGUGAUGAAGAUCAUACCUCAUCUCCUGUGAGGACUUGGGUUACUUGUGGUAUGUCAGCCAAAAAGGUGUUUAUCUUUUGUCUUUUUAAUAUUCACAUUACUUAUGCAAGCACCAUUGUAUGUAAACAUUAUAUAAGAUGAUUUUAAGGUUCAAAAAUAAAAUAAGCUAAACCUAA